rnacentral:lncRNA from 1 species
UGGGAAAGACAUGAGUCCGUGAUGAGAAAAGCGCUUUUGUUCCCAUCCAUUUCUAUAGAGGACUUGUAUCAAUAAAUUGCAAGGUCUCACGACACAAGGCAAUCGAAGUGUGGAAGACUAUUACAAAGAUAUGGAGAUUGUCAUGAUUAGGGCAAAGGUGGAAGAAGACGAGAAGCAAACCAUGGAUCGUUUUCUUAAUGGCUUAAAUCAGAGAUUGCAAGUGGUUGAGUUGCAACAUUAUGUGGAGAUAGAAAAAAUGGUGCAAAAGGCUUCCAAAAAUGAGCAAACAGCUCAAGCGGAGGGGCCAUAACCACGACUUUCAUCAAGCUUGCCAAUCCAAUUCUUGGAGACGAACUAUCCAAAGGGAAGAGAGAAGGCCCAACCGUCAUCCAGACCAAACCAAAGCCUGAGCCUUCAAGCAAGGAAAGUCAUGGUAAAAAUGCGAAAAACUCCUAAUCCUCAUAAUCGUCCCCCCCUGAUAUAAAUGCUUUAAAUGUCAAGGCAGGUGACCCACAUAGCAAGUCAAUGCCCGAAUAGGCGGGUUAUGUGUGGAUGCGGGAUUAAUGGAGAAAUUGAGACCGAUGCCAAGAUGAUCUGAAUCCAGUUUCCAUUAGAGGAUGCCUCUGAGGAGGGAAUAUUAGCUCCUGUGCGGUUGACGUUAGUGGCAAGGAGAGCGUUGAGCUUGCAAAUGACGAACGAAGAUGGAAGUUAAACGAAGAGACAUAUUUUACACUAGAGGACUAUGUCAAAGACAAGGUAUGUAGCGUAAUUAUUGAUGGUGGUAGUUGUAAGAAUGUGGCAAGCAAACCAUGGUUGAUAAAUUAGGAUUGCCAACGGAAUUGCAUCCUAAGCCUUAUUAAAUUGCAAUGGUUGAAUAAUAGUGAUGAGUUGAGGGUGACUAAACAGGUGUUGGUGCAUCCGCAUCGGUAAAUAUGAAGAUGAAAGUUCUGUGUGCUGUGAGUACCGAUGCAAGCUGGUCAAUUGUUGUUAGGACGGGACCAUGGCAGUUCGAUAGGCGGUGAAGCAUGAUGGUUCACGAAAAAAUUCAUUUGUACUAAUCAAACGACCCAUAACCCUUAUACCCUUUAUCACGAGAAUAAGUUCAUGAAGAUCAAGUGAGAUUAACAAAAAGAGAGUGAACAAAAAAAAGAGUGAAAAGAGAUAGAAGGCGCGGAAAAAAAGAGAGGAAAGGCAAUAUUAAGAUCAGGCCAUUAGUAAAAAUAGAGAGACAACAAAAGAAUUUUAAUGCAAAAGCCAAAGAAAUUCAAGAGAGCAAUGUUUUCAAAUCAGGCCGAUGAUGGUACUCUUGUAUAAGGAGGCAUUUAUUAACACUAACGGGACUUGACUUCUGUUUAUACCUAGUUCUAUUGUAAUCUCUGUGGCAGGAAUUGAGGACGUCUUUUCCGAUGAGAUGCCGCAUGGGUUCUCCCAUUCGAGGAAUUGAGCAUCAGAUUGAUUUGCUACCCGGCACCGUUCAAUUCCAAACAGACAGCUUAGAGGAGCCAACCCCGACGAGACAAAGGAGGCUUCAAAGGCCAGGUUAGUGAAUUGUUAGGAAAAGGCGGUAUUUAGGGAAAGCAGAGUCAAUGUGCAGUUCCAGUGUUAGUUCCUAAGAAGGAUGGGACAGGAGAAUGUGCCGUUGAUUGCCGAGCAAUAAACAAUAAACGGUAAAGUAUCGUCAUCCUAUUCCUCGUUUAGAUGAUAUGUUAGAUGAAUUGCUUGUUCUUGUGUAUUUUCUAAAAUUGACUUGAAAAGUGGAUAUCAUCAAAUCCGAAUGAAAGAAGGACGAUGAGUGCGAAACUGCUUCAAAUAUAAAUAUGGAUUGUACGAGUGAGUAGUAAUGCCAUUUGGUUAAACUAAUGCCCUCCGAGACUACUUUCAUGGUUAAUGACAUCAUAUUUUGCGUGCAUUAAUCGGAAAAUGUGUUGGUUGUAUAUUUUGAUGAUAUCCUCAUAUAUAGCAAAACUUAGAUGAUCAUGUACAACAUUUUAAAAACUCUGUUUUAGAUGUGCUUAGAAAAGAAAAGUUAUUUGCUAAUCUUUGAAGAGUGUACACAUUUUGUACAGAUAAACUUGUGUUUCUAUGCUUUGUGGUGAGUGCGCAGGGGGCCUACAUGUGAUGCAGAGAAGAACGUGCCAUCAAGAAUGGCGAGUCCCACAAACCGUAGGAAUGUGAGGAGUUUUCAUGGACUUGGCUAGUUUCUACCGACGGUUUGUGCAAAAUUUCAGCACGGAAGUAAAUCAAGAAAACUGUGGGUUUAAGUGGGGAGACGAACAAGAAAGGGCAUUUAAAUGGUCAAGCAAAAGGCUGACAAACGCCCUUUAUUAUCUUUGCCCAAUUUUUGCUAAAAAUAUUUGAAUGAAUGUGAGCUUCAGGUAUUAUUGAUGGGACAUUUUGGAAUUGCUAAGACUUUAGCUAUUUUGCAGGAACAUUUUUAUUGGCCACAUAGUGAAACGAGACCAUUGAGCGGAUUUGUGGGACAUGUAUCAACCUGUAAGCAAGCUAAGUCUAGAGUGCAGCACCACGGUUGAUUACUCCUCUUCCUAUUCCUAGGAGCCAUGGAUUGAAUUUCAAUGAUUUUGUGUUGGGUUACCUGGUCUAAAAGUGGGAAAUAUUCAGUUUGGUGGUGGACAGAUUUUUAAAACAUGGCACACACAUUCCCUAUCUAUCUAUGCACAGUAGAACACACAAAACAUAUGCUGCUUACAUAUGCCGAGAUGUUCUUUAAAGAAAUUGUGCGUUUACAUGGUUACUAGAACAUUGUUUCUGAUAGAGAUGCUAAAAUUUUUGAGUUAUUCUGGAAGUACUUUAUGGGGCAAAUUAGGAACCAGUGAUGUUUUCAACAUUGUCAUCCUCAAACGAUGGUCAAACAGAAGUAGUAAAUAGGACUCUAUCUACUUUUGUUGCGGGCAAUUAUAAAAAAAAAUAUUAAAAAAUGGAAGAUUGUUUGCCACAUUUGAAUUUGCUUAUAAUCGUCUGUCACAAUCCUGCUACUAAUUUUCACCAUUUGAGAUUGUUUAUGGUUUAAUUCCUUUAACUCUUUGGAUUUAUAGCCGUUACUUUGACUGAGCAACUUUGAAUUUGUGAUGGAAAAAGAACGGCUGAACUUGUAAAACAGAUCCCAUGGAAAGCAAAACUCACAUUGAAAUAAUAAUUGAGCAAUAUGCGAAAACAAGCCAAUAAAGGGCGGCAACAUGUGUUUUUGAACCUGGAGAUUGGAUUUGGUUACAUCAUGCGUAAUGAAGCGAUGCCCACUCAACGGAAAUCCAGUUAUACCUAGAGGGAUGGGCCCGUUCCAAGUCGUGGAACGAAUCAAUGACACUGCCUACAACUGGACCUACCCGUGGAAUAUCUGUUAGUGCUACCCUUCAUGUUUUCUGAUUUGAGUUAUUUCCUUUUUGCUGUAGUGAUUAACUUGAUUUUAAGGACAAAUCCUUUUCAAGAGAGGAGAUGAUGAGGACAUGGCUAACACAGACCAUCCAUGAUGCGGAUCACCAAUUCAGUUCACACCCAUUGGCCCAAUUACAAGAGCAACACGUGCCAAGAAAUUUCAAAUGCAAUUAGGGGCUGAUUCCAGAGAUUUGGGCUUCAAACAAGCAAGUGUAGUCCCAUUGAGGUGAUGAACAAAAUAUCCAACCCAUAAUAAAGCAUGAUUCAAGUCCCAGAAAGUCAAUAGACAAAUGGGGAGCUGACUUCCUUAAAUUGAGGAUUCUUGUUGCACACUUUGUGCUGAAAUAUGGAGUUAAUGUCAUUCUUGUCUUUAUUAAAUUGGAAGUUGGUCUUAUGCAGAUUUUUUUAGGCUUGAAAUUAAGGAAAAUUUAGGUUUGACUUCCUUAAAUUGGAAGGCCCAAAGUUUUUCUUAGUUUAAGAAUUUACUUAGGCUGAUCUUUGUAGCCCUAGUAUAUAAAUUGGUGCUUCCUUUCAUUUGAAGAGGGGAGAGUUGUAUUGAGUGAAGGUAUUUCUCUUAGUUCUUUGAGAACUAAUUUGAACGUAUCAGAUUUCUCUGUGGCGUUCAUUCUUCGUGACUUAUCAUCGCGUAUUUCAACCCUGAAUGUGGCGUCCUCCUUUAUCCAAGGUUCACAUCUCCUUUAUAGUGUUUGGGUCGCGGUUUCCAUCUCAACCUGAACGUAUAACGGUCUUAGGCAACAAUACUUGAUACGGGGUUCGUUACAACGACACGGGGUUCGUAUCAUAAACUAUUGGGAUGAUUCAGUGGGAAACUAAACACUAGCAGUGCUUGUCAAUAGUCUCUGCCAGAGAUGCUGUUAUGUGUUUUACAUACAUAUGCUUGUACUUAGUGUGCAACAGGUCCCUCUAUUUAUCUACUUUUGACCUUCUGUAUACAAGGUGCAACCAUGCAAAUUAUCAAACCAGCACCAUUCCACCAACCAAUUACUCUUUCCUGAGUUUGAGUUUAUUUGCAAAUGGUGCUUACCUACAAACUAGUGCAGUUAACAGUGAAGGUGAUAGAACUAAAGACAUUGAAUAACCUGA